rnacentral:rRNA from 1 species
UACAGAGGGUGCGAGCGUUAAUCGGAGUUACUGGGCGUAAAGGGCGCGUAGGCGGUUAGUUAAGAUUGGUGUGAAAUCCCUGGGCUUAACCUAGGAACUGCAUUGAUUACUGAUUAGCUAGAGUACUGUAGAGGGUAGUGGAAUUUCCGGUGUAGCGGUGAAAUGCGUAGAGAUCGGAAGGAACACCAGUGGCGAAGGCGGCUACCUGGACAGAUACUGACGCUGAGGCGCGAGAGCGUGGGGAGCAAACAGG